AUGGCAGCUCUAUCUUUGUCUAAGCAAUGGAAAGGAAAAAAGGAAUCAGUCGUCCACAGCAGGAAAGACACCUGGCCAAAGAUGAGGCUGCUAACAGAGAGAUGUGCAAUCAGGCAAGGGCAGCCUGAAGACAAAGGUUGUCAAACUUUGAGAAGAAGAAAGAACUGACUGCUUAAAAGAAGAAAAUGCUUGCAGAAAGAAGGCAAAAUUCAAGGGGUAGACUCUGCAGUAAGCUUCUUGUUGAAACAAAAAAGAGUGAAAAUAUGGGAAUUUCAUUCCUAUUUCUAACUGGGAGUCUACUCUAGUAAACCACUGGAUAGCUUUGAUGUGUGAAAGUCCGUCAGUGAAAGAAGCUCUUCCCCCCAAUGAAGCUGCUGCAUAACUAUUGACCCAUAUUUAUAGACAUAUCACCAUCUUUGUCUACUUCUACUAGUAAAAAUAACAAAGUGUAAUAGAAAGGAUAAUCUCUAUGGAAACUAUUUCUGGUCGUGGUAACUGGAUACUCUGGCUUGACUGGAGAGCUGCUAAGGAGAACCUUCAGGGAUGCUUAAAUGGGAGAUAGAUGAGAGAUGCUGCUAGAGAGAUAGAUAAUGCUAGAGGGGUGCUCUGGGGUUGUCUAUUGAUCACUAAUGGGUAAUAAGUCAAACUGUUUCCUAUCACCCUUCCUCCCUUCACUUCCCAGGUUUCAUCCAGCCCUUUUGCCUCCCUUUCCCCUCCCCCUUUCUUAGCCAGUCAUCUUCUAAGUAACUCAGGGGAACUAUGAGAUUUCAGAGAAAUAUUCUUCACUCUUCCAUUCUCAGGUAAGGGGGUUUAUUGGUAACAAACAGGAUGGGGAUUGAGGUGAGAGGGAUGAGGUUUUGUCUCUAAUCUACAAGGAAGGGUUAUGACAUUCCAUUUGGAUUUUUUUUUUUUUCAGAUCAGGUCCCCAGCUUGGUCUGCAUGCCUGGCUUGUCCUGAAAAUCCUCCUUUUCUUCAUGCCUCUCCCACAAGUCUUUUUUUUUUUUAAAGAAAUUCUUACCUUCUGUCUUAGAAUAUAAUUGUUUUGGUUCUAAGGCAGAAGAGCUGUAAGAGCUAGGCAACAGGGGUUAAGUGACUUGCCCAGGGUCAAACAGCUAUGAAGUGUCUGGGGUCAAAUUUGAAUCCAGGAACUCCUGUCACUAGGCCUGGC
rnacentral:lncRNA from 1 species